AUGGCCCCCGGCGCCAAGGUAAGCCUGCGCCGCGCCGGGAACACCCGGUGGCCAACGCGAAUGAGGCAGUCCAAAAGCACCAUCUCAAUUCCAGGCGAGAUCCAUUCCUUCUCUCGCAGCAGUCUUCCCUCUACGAUCUUCCCUCCGUCAUCCCAUAGGAAGAAAAGGUUGUGUGGCUGGUCGAGGAAGAGGGUUCCGGGGCGCCAGUCCGUCCUGCUGUCGAGAGGAGCCGACGAGAACGUCGCCGACCACCGCAGGGGCGGGGGUGGCUCCGGGGGUCUCGUCAUGCAGGACAGUUUUUUUUACUUGCCCGCUCGAUCUAACGAGCUAGCUCAGGAGAGAGUUUUGCCAUAUAUUAGUCUUUACUUUCCCUUUGAAGCUGGAACAACCAACGAACACCUACAAGGGAUUCAAGACAUCGAUGAGCUACACGUCGACGAUCAGCUAGGCGUCGCGGAUUACAUAGAGGAUAUCUACAACUUCUACGAAGUUGCCGAGAAUGAGUGCCGCCCCUGCGACUACAUGGACUCCCAGGUGGACAUCGACUCCAGGAAGCGGGGCGCCCUCGUCGACUGGAUAAUAAAAGUGCAUGAAAAGCUUGAGCUCAUGCCGGAGACCCUCUACCUCACGGUGUACAUCAUCGACCGGUACCUCUCGAUGCAUAAGCCCGUGCUUCGAAGUGAGCUGCAGAUGGUAUGCGCCUCGGCCCUGCUGAUCGCCUGCAAGUAUGAGGAGGAGGACGCCUGGGAUCCAGAGAUACUGGGGACGGAGAUGGCCAUUCUGAACACGCUUGAAUGGAACCUGUCAGUUCCUACACAUUACGUGUUCCUUUCACGCUUUGCCAGGGCCUCGUCCUCCUCACAUCCGAAGAACGAUGAGGAGAUGGAGAACAUGGUGUUCUUUUUUGCUGAACUGGCGCUGCUGCAGUAUGCGCUGGUGCUGUCCAAGCCCUCCAUGGUUGCUGCUGCUGCUGUCUAUGCAGCCAGGCUCACACUCAAGAGGACGCCUCUAUGGACUGAGACUCUCAAGCACCAUACUGGCUUUACCGAGUCACAGCUAAUGGAUAGUGUAAAGAUCCUGGUGACCGCGCACUCGGCUGCCCCUGCGAGCAAGUUGAAGAUUGGCCCACUUAAAGCUCCGGGGCCAGAUGGUCUUCCAGGCCGGUUCUUCCAACGAAACUGGGAGGUGUUAAAGGAGGAUGUGGUGAGGGGUGUGCUCGAUUUCUUUGAUAAGGGAGUGCUCCUGAAAGGAAUAAAUGAUACGAUGAUAGUCCUCAUACCCAAAGGUAAUAACCCACAGACACUUAAGAACUAUAGACCGAUUAGCCUAUGCAAUGUUAUAUACAAAGUGAUUUCCAAGUGCCUCGUGAAGAGGCUGAGACCGUUGCUGGAUGGAAUCAUCUCGGAGACACAGAGUGCCUUCAUCCCGGGAAGGAUGAUAACCGACAAUGCCAUCAUCGCUUUUGAGUGUUUCCAUAAAAUUCAACACUGCAAAAACCCAAGAGAAAAUUACUAUGCUUAUAAGCUCGAUCUUGCCAAAGCCUACGACAGAGUGGACUGGGGUUUUCUGAAAGGGGUGCUGAGAAAAUUUGGCUUCUGUAAUAAGUGGGUGGAGUGGGUGAUGCAAUGUGUUAGCUCAGUGAGAUAUUCGGUAAAGUGCAAUGGUGAGUUGCUUGAGCCGUUCUCUCCAACCCGUGGACUGGGGCAAGGGGAUCCCCUCAGCCCGUAUCUCUUUCUAUUCGUUGCUGACGGGCUUGUUCACCUCUUGAAGAAAGAAUUGGCAGAGAACACACUCUCCCCCAUCAAGAUCGCUAGAAACAGUCCGGGUAUCUCUAACCUUCUGUUUGCAGACGACAAUCUGAUCUUUUUCCGAGUUGAUCCGAGGCAAGCAGAGACCAUUAAGAGGGUCCUGGCCAAAUUUCAGAAGUGCACGGGGCAGUUACUAAGUGCUAGCAAGUGUUCCAUCCUCUUCAGUGAGGUGUGCCCUACGACAACGAGAGAGCAAAUCAAGGCCAUUCUGGAAGUGACAUUGGAUACUUUUGAGAGCAAGUAUCUUGGCCUACCGACACCGGAGGGGAGAAUGAAAGAUGAUCAAUUCCAGCCAAUCAUGGAUAGAUUUCGUAAAAGGUGCAGCGACUGGUCGGAAAAGUUUAUGUCUUAUGCAGCAAAGGAGGUCCAUGUUAAGUCUGUUGUGCAGGCACUUCCCACCUUCGUCAUGAGUGUCUUCAUGUUAUCCAAGGGCUUCUGCGAGAAGUAUGAGCGUACGAUUAGGGAUUUCUGGUGGGGCGACGAGGAAGGUCACCGUAAGGUACACUGGAUGUCAUGGGAGCGGAUGACAAAACCGAAGAGGGCAGGAGGCAUCGGAUUCAGAGAUAUGUGCCUAUUUAACCAAGCACUUUUGGCUAAGCAGGGGUGGAGAUUAAUUCAAAACCCGGAUAGCCUGUGUGCGAGGGUGCUAAAAUCCAAAUAUUACCCUAAUAGUAACCUCUUGGAUACAGUAUUUGCCUCCGAUGUGUCUCCCGUUUGGAGGGCCAUCGAGUUCGGCCUGGACCUUCUAAAGAAGGGCAUCAUUUGGAGGAUUGGCAACGGGAGGGACAUCCAGAUACAAAGAGACCAGUGGAUACCAAGACGGGAGGGUUUGAAAACAGCCUCUUUCACUCGCAGCUCGAGGAUCCGUUGGGUAAGCCAACUCAUGGUACCGGACCAGAAAGCGUGGAAUGAGAAGCUAAUUAGACAACUCUUUCACCCUUUUGAUGCUGACGAGAUAUGCAAACUGAACAUCCCGUCUUCGGAGGUGCAAGACCAAAUAGCUUGGCACUAUGAGAAAAACAGAGUCUUUUCGGUAAGGAGUGCUUAUAAGCUAGCUGCUGCAGGUCUUCCCCAAAUGGCCCAGAACCCGUCGAGCUCUUCCAGCGAGCCAAAUGACAGAAGCAUCUGGGAUCUUAUAUGGAAGUCAAAAGUGCCUGAAAAAGUUUGGAUUUUCAGCUGGAGAGUGGCGACUAAUACCCUAGCCACGAAGGAAAACAAGUGGAGGAGAACACUUGAACUGGACAAUACUUGUUGUAUUUGUGGAAAUGGAAGUGAGAACGAGCAUCAUGCGGUGAUCAUGUGCACAAAAUGUAGAGCCCUCAUGUCUGCUAUGAAGGAAGUGUGGAAAUUGCCCUCUGAAGAAAAAUUCAGGUACACCGGGGAAAACUGGCUGCAAACCUUGCUGGACACAGUAAACGAUGAAGACAGAGCAAAAUUUUUGCUGUUGUUCUGGAGAAGCUGGCACUUACGAGAAGACUGUAUUCGUAAUGACGGCAAGGAAUCAAUUGGGAGCUCAAAGCAGUUCCUGCUAAAACUUGAGGAGGAACUGAGGAUAGCUGCUGACCUUGUUGAGGGGACAGGCAGCAAGGAAAUUUUGGCAACUGGAAGCUUCGAUGAGGCCCCUGGAGUUGGGCCUGCAGACAAAUGGCUGCCUCCAGAUAUGGGCAUCGCAAAGAUAAACACUGACGCUGCCUUCCUCGCGGAAUCCGGAGAGAGUGCUGCCGGAGCGCCAAAUGGUUGUAAACGAGCUAAAGGCACAAACCCUGUCACGCUCCCCCUAUAUGGCCUGAUCAUGGAUAUCAAGCAGGCCAUGACAAAUUUUGUUGCGUGCGAAGUUCAGUACGUAAGGCAGGGAGGCAAUGCUUUGGCUCACGGGCUGGCUGCCUUCUGUAGGAUUGCCGACAUCGAUAAGGUUGACGGCGACAAUCAGCUAGCCUUCAUGGAUUACGUUAAUGAUCUGUACAAGUUCUAUAAAGUUGCUGAGAAUGAGCGUCGCCCCCGCUACUACAUUCACUCCCAGGUGCAUCUCAGCUCCAAGAUGCGGGCCAUCCUCGUCGACUGGAUAAUAGAAGUGCAUGACAUGUUUGAUCUGAUGCCAGAGACCAUCUACCUUACGGUGAGGGAUUUGGUCUCGAUAACAGACAAUGCCUACUCCAGGAAGCAGAUACUGAGGAUGGAGAAAGCCAUUCUCAAUCGGCUUGGAUGGAACCUGACAGUUCCUACACCUUAUGUGUUCCUUGCGCGCUUUGCCAUGGCUGCGUCUUACUUCAAUUUGAAGAACUAUGGGGAGAUGAUGAACAUGGUGUCCUUUUUUGCUGAACUGGCACUGAUGCAAUAUGCGCUGGUGCCGUCCAAGCCCUCCAUGGUUGCUGUUGCUGCUGUCUAUGCAGCCAGACUCACACUCAAGAAGACCGAUUCAUGGACUCGCACUCUCAAACACUAUACUGGCUUUACUGAAUCACAGCUAAUAUAUAGUGCAAAGAUCCUGGUCACCGCACACUCGACUGCCCCUCAGAGCAAGUUGCAGGUGGUGUAUAAGAACUCCGGCUACCGCGGCGUCCGCGCCCGCCCUUCCGGCGUGUAUUACGCGAAGAUCCGCUCCGGUGAUACACGCCUCAGGUUCGGAACGUUCGGGACCACCCACAAGGCCGCCUGCGCGUACGACGCGGCGGCAUGGCGCCUCGGGAGGCCACCGGCGCAGAUGAGCUUCUCGGACGUGUGGACGCGCGAUAAGGCGCAGGACCUCGCGCCUCCCCGCGGAGGACCACCGCAUCCAGCGGAGGCAGGAGCGCCGCCUCUUCAUUAUCUGGACGUGCUCCUCCCCGAGGGGUUCCUGAAGAGGAUGCUAAUGAGGGGGGUGGUUGUGAAGAUGUGGGCGCUGCAGGUGGAGGUGAUGCGGGCCUGCUGCACACCGCGACCGGCGCGUUUGCGAUGCACUGCAGGUGGAACGCGGUUCCGGAGGCGUCGUCAGCCGGGGUGCCGAUGUUGGCAUAAUGCCGAGCAGAGGGCGAACAAGGUGUUCGUGGUGGACGAAAUGAAGCUCGGGGUUGUGAUGGAAGGGUAUGACGAGGAGCUUGUCAAGGCCGAGGAGGUGGAGAAGAAGGUGAGGCGGGUGAUGGAGUCGGACGAAGGGGAAAUGCUGAGGGCAAGGCUGGCAUUGGCGAAGGAGAAGGCGGCGGAGGCACUGCUGGACGGCGGGCCAUCGCCGAUGGCGUUCGCGGAGUUCUUGUAG
rnacentral:rRNA from 1 species